rnacentral:rRNA from 1 species
UAUGGCCACAUCACAAUGAAACACUGGUUCCUGUAUGAUCCCUGAAGUUAAGCAAUAUUGAACCUGGUCAGUUCCUAGAUGGGUGACUGCUUGGGAAUACCAGGUGCUGUAAG